GGAGGAAAGCAGGGGAUCGCAAGACCUUGCGCUUUUGGAGCGGCCGAUGUCUGAUUAGCUAGUUGGUGGGGUAAAGGCUUACCAAGGCUUCGAUCAGUAGCUGGUCUGAGAGGACGACCAGCCACACUGGGACUGAGACACGGCCCAGACUCCUACGGGAGGCAGCAGUGGGGAAUUUUGGACAAUGGGGGAAACCCUGAUCCAGCCAUGCCGCGUGAGUGAAGAAGGCCUUCGGGUUGUAAAGCUCUUUCAGCCGGAACGAAAAGGUCACGGCUAAUACCCGUGACAAAUGACGGUACCGGAAGAAGAAGCACCGGCUAACUACGUGCCAGCAGCCGCGGUAAUACGUAGGGUGCAAGCGUUAAUCGGAAUUACUGGGCGUAAAGCGUGCGCAGGCGGUUUUGUAAGUCAGAUGUGAAAUCCCCGGGCUUAACCUGGGAACUGCGUUUGAAACUACAAAGCUAG
rnacentral:rRNA from 1 species